rnacentral:tRNA from 1 species
GCCUCCUUAGCUCAGUUGGUUAGAGCUUUUGCAUGGUAAGCAAAGGGUCGUCGGUUCAAAUCCGAUGGGAGGCC